rnacentral:rRNA from 1 species
GACGAACCGUCCAAACGUUAUUCGGAAUCACUGGGCUUACAGAGUUCGUAGGCGGUCUGGAAAGUUGGGUGUGAAAUCCCUCGGCUCAACCGUGGAACUGCCUCAGAUACUGACGGUCUCGAGGGAGGUAGGGGCGAGCGGAACUGAUGGUGGAGCGGUGAAAUGCGUUGAUAUCAUCAGGAACUCCGGUGGCGAAGGCGGCUCGCUGGACCUUUUCUGACGCUGAGGCGCGAAAGCUAGGGGAGCAAACGGGG